UACGUAGGGUGCAAGCGUUGUCCGGAAUUAUUGGGCGUAAAGAGCUCGUAGGCGGUUUGUCGCGUCUGCUGUGAAAUCCCGAGGCUCAACCUCGGGUCUGCAGUGGGUACGGGCAGACUAGAGUGUGGUAGGGGAGAUUGGAAUUCCUGGUGUAGCGGUGAAAUGCGCAGAUAUCAGGAGGAACACCGAUGGCGAAGGCAGGUCUCUGGGCCACUACUGACGCUGAGAAGCGAAAGCAUGGGGAGCGAACAGG
rnacentral:rRNA from 1 species